ensembl:snoRNA
UCCUUCUCAUAUAAGCACUGUGCUAAAAGUGAAAAACUAGGAUCCUAUCUUUGUUUUUGUAAUAAUGCUAACAGAGUACACACAGGAAGAAGAGUAACUGCACCAGAUUCCAAAGAUUUGGGUUGAGCUCUUUCUUAAUGUCCAGUGUCUUUUGUCUUAAGAUUGGCACAAUAUUA